AGGAAUUUAAAUAGUUUUACGCUACUUAUAUCGCUUUAGUACUCUCAAGUCGCUGAGGAAUUAUUAGAUCACAGCAGAAUGUCAUGUGAAAAAAAAGUAUUCAUAUCGGUCAAUCCUAUGACAAUAAGGGUAAGUAAAUAAUAUUGUCCUCAUCUGUUUGAUGUAUAUAUCCUUAUCGAAAGUAAACAAUUUCAUGGCCAAUUGUACUUUGUUGUGAUCUAUUUUUAGAUGUUAAAGUGACAAAUAUGACAAUUUUAUAUCUUAUUUUGAACAUAAAAUCUAAAUUUAUCUUAUUCUUUUAAAUCUUCAUUGAUUGAUCUAUAUCCUCGAGCUUGAAUUUCACACCGAGGUCAUAGAUUGCAAUCUAUUUCACAAGAUACAAUAUUAAAAUUAUCAGGUGUAGGAUGAAUGAAAUAUGCAUUGUCAUGAUUUUAAUAUAGAUAUUUGUUCUAAAGAAUUAACAUAUUCUAAGAUAUAAGAUACCAAAAAAUACCUCCACUGCAUAUAUGAGCGUUAUGUUUCUACCAACUGCAAUAUUAUUAACAAUUUCUUUUUUAAGAUUGUCCUUAAUGGUAGGACUUCGCCUGGGAAAAGAACAGAGAGAGAAAAUGGUACUAGUAUGUAGAAACGGAAC
rnacentral:lncRNA from 1 species